rnacentral:misc_RNA from 1 species
CCCGAUGGGCAGGGCAGGCAG